GCUGCUACUUGUACUAGAACUAAAAAAGGAAGAGACCUUUCUGUAUUGCGCAAAAGACAACUGCAACUACUAACUCUACGAGUGGCUGAAUUCCUUGAGUUUUGCUCUCAUCCAUCAUGGAGCAUCCU